rnacentral:sRNA from 1 species
GUCGUGAGAUGUUGGGUUAAGUCCCGCAACGAGCGCAACCCCCGUCGCAUGUUGCCAGCAUUAAGUUGGGGACUCAUGCGAGACUGCCGGUGACAAACCGGAGGAAGGUGGGGAUGACGUCAAGUCAUCAUGCCCCUUAUGUCCAGGGCUACACACGUGCUACAUUGGCGCAUACAGAGGGCUGCAAGACCGUGAGGUGGAGCGAAUCCCUUAAAGUGCGUCUCGGUUCGGAUUGUAGGCUGAAACUCGCCUACAUGAAGGUGGAGUUGCUAGUAAUCGCGGAUCAGCAUUGCCGCGGUGAAUACGUUCCCGGGCCUUGUACACACCGCCCGUCACACCAUGGGAGUGAGCAACACCCGAAGCCGGUGGCCUAACCCGCAAGGGAGGGAGCCGUCGAAGGUGGGGCUCGUGACUGGGGUGAAGUCGUAACAAGGUAGCCGUAGCGGAAGCUGCGGCUGGAUCACCUCCUUUCUAGGGAGUCCCGUAAUGGGACAUCCGGAGCCCGUCAGGCAAUAACUGUCUGGCGAGUGCGGCAUCCAGGUUGAACCUCGAGUUCACCGAUGCCGACAGAGUUUCCGGCUUAGAGAUGUCGACCGAAUCUGGAAUAUGGAAUCCGUUAGAGCGCCAGCUCUAGUCCGCGGAUUCCUACAUGCUGUUGAGUUUUGAGAGACCGGCGCGUCGCCGGCAACUCACUGCCCUCGGGCUGAGUUGUUGGUCACGCGUCCGAGCCUCCUCGCGGACCUUGAAAAUCACACAGUAGCCAAUGUAAACGGGUAUCACCGAGUAGUGACUUCGUGUCACUGCUCUCGUGACUCAUGUAAGUGAGUCAAUUUUUUGAUCACCGUCAAGAUAGUAAGGGCACAUGGUGGAUGCCUUGGCACCUAGAGUCGAUGAAGGGCGUGAACGGCUGCGAUAAGCCGCGGUGAGGCGCUGAAUAGCCUUUGACCCGCGGAUGC